rnacentral:rRNA from 1 species
UACGGGGGGAGCAAGCGUUGUUCGGAUUUACUGGGCGUAAAGGGCGCGUAGGCGGCGUAACAAGUCACUUGUGAAAUCUCCGGGCUUAACCCGGAGCGGCCAAGUGAUACUGUUGUGCUAGAGUGCGGAAGGGCUACUGGAAUUCUCGGUGUAGCGGUGAAAUGCGUAGAUAUCGAGAGGAACACCUGCGGCGAAGGCGGGUAGCUGGGCCGACACUGACGCUGAGGCGCGAAAGCUAGGGGAGCAAACGGG